rnacentral:rRNA from 1 species
GACGAACGCUGGCGGCGUGCUUAACACAUGCAAGUCGAACGGAAAGGCCCUGCUUUUGUGGGGUGCUCGAGUGGCGAACGGGUGAGUAACACGUGAGUAACCUGCCCUUGACUUUGGGAUAACUUCAGGAAACUGGGGCUAAUACCGGAUAUGAGCUCCUGCUGCAUGGUGGGGGUUGGAAAGUUUCGGCGGUUGGGGAUGGACUCGCGGCUUAUCAGCUUGUUGGUGGGGUAGUGGCUUACCAAGGCUUUGACGGGUAGCCGGCCUGAGAGGGUGACCGGCCACAUUGGGAAUGAGAUACGGCCCAGACUCCUACGGGAGGCAGCAGUGGGGAAUAUUGCACAAUGGGCGGAAGCCUGAUGCAGCAACGCCGCGUGCGGGAUGACGGCCUUCGGGUUGUAAACCGCUUUCGCCUGUGACGAAGCGUGAGUGACGGUAAUGGGUAAAGAAGCACCGGCUAACUACGUG